UACGGGAGGCAGCAGUGGGGAAUAUUGCACAAUGGGCGAAAGCCUGAUGCAGCUAUGCCGCGUGUAUGAAGAAGGCCUUAGGGUUGUAAAGUACUUUCAUCGGGGAGGAAAAAACAAAACUAAUAAUUUUAUUUCUUGACGUUACCCGAAAAAGAAGCACCGGCUAACUCCGUGCCAGCAGCCGCGGUAAUACGGAGGGUGCUAGCGUUAAUCAGAAUUACUGGGCGUAAAGAGCACGUAGGUGGUUUUUUUAAAGUCAGAUGUGAAAUCCCUGGGCUUAACCUGGAACUGCAUUUUGAAACUGAAAUACUAGAGUAUCGUAGAGGGAGGUAGAAUUCUAGGUGUAGCGGUGAAAUGCGUAGAUAUCUGGAGGAAUACCUGUGGCGAAAGCGGCCUCCUAAACGAAUACUGACACUGAGGGUGCGAAAGCGUGGGGAGCAAACGAGGAUUAGACUACC
rnacentral:rRNA from 1 species